rnacentral:lncRNA from 1 species
CACAGCUGGCCCUGGUGUCGGCCGCCUGCUCGGCCCUACAAUGCGACGGCCCCGAACUGCGCCAGCGCCUGCGGGAUCUCAGCGCCGCCGUGGCACCGCACUGCCCCGAAUUCCCCCUGCAGGUAACGGCCCCGCUCACCCCACUGACCCCACUGACCCCAUUUAUGGCCCCACUGACCCCCCCAACCCUAUGGAUGGCCCUACUGACCCCAUUGACUCUAUGGAUGGCCCUACUGACCCCAUUGACCCCAUUGACCCCAUUGAUGGCCCUACUGACCCCAUUGACCCUAUUGAUGGCCCCACUGACCCUGUUGACCCCAUUGACCCUAUUGAUGGCCCCACUGACCCUAUUGACCCCAUUGAUGGCCCUACUGACCCCACUGACCCCAUUGACCCUAUGGAUGGCCCUACUGACCCCAUUGAUCCCAUUGACCCUAUUGAUGGUCCCAAUGACCCCAUUGACCCCACUGAUGGCCCCACUGACCCUGUUGACCCCAUUGACCCUAUUGAUGGCCCCACUGACCCUAUUGACCCCAUUGAUGGCCCUACUGACCCCAUUGGCCCCAUUGAUCCUAUUGAUGGCCCUACUGACCCCAUUGAUCCCAUUGACCCUAUUGAUGGUCCCAAUGACCCCAUUGACCCCACUGAUGGCCCCACUGACCCCAUUGACCCCAUUGAUGGCCCCACUGAUGGCCCCACUAACCCCACUGACCCCACUGACCCCAUUUAUGGCCCUACUGACCCCACAAACCCCAUUGAUCCUAUUGAUGGCCCUACUGACCCCAUUGACCCCAUUGAACCCAUAGAUGUCCCCAUUGACCCCAUUAAUGGUCCCACUGACCCCAUUGAUCCCAUUGAUGGCCAUACUGACCCUAUUGACCCCAUUGACGCCAUUUAUGGCCCUACAGACCCCAUUGACCCCAUUGACCCUAUUGAUGGCCCUACUGACCCCACUGACCCCAUUUAUGGCCCUACUGACCCCAUUGAUCCUAUUGAUGGCCCCACUGACCCCAUUGACCCCAUUUUGGCCCUACGGACCCCACUGACCCCA